CGACGUCGGAACAUGCGUUAGUUUAUAUUUGUUUAAAUUUUUUUAGCCCGGGCAUAGGAAUACAGUAUAGAGUGUCAGUGCCGGCGGCCGCAACAAACAGGAGGACGAGGAGAGCAGGGCUUGCAGUAAAUCCUUAUUCACCUCCCUCCAUUUAACCAGACAACACUGUCCCUCCAGAGCAGAUUUUACAGCUUCUUGAUCAGCAAGUCACGCAAAGCAUAUUACACAUGGUGUCCAUAUGAGUAUGAAGGUGGAGAUUCGGUGAAGAUGAGUUGUGAUCGGGAGACAUCUUCAUGAUGACCCAGGACAGAUGGAGAAGAAAGAGAAAAGUGAACGACUCCGAUCAGAGAAGACGCCCCCUGUGA